GGAGCUGCAGCUCAGUGGCAGAGCAUUUGCUUCACAUGCAGAAGGUCUCAAGACCAUUCCCUGGCAUCUCCA
rnacentral:tRNA from 1 species